rnacentral:lncRNA from 1 species
AUGAGGACUCAGGCACUGCGUGUGUCAAGCUGUUCUGAUCCGGGUCAGGGAAGCAGUGGGACACAAAGCUCCAGGGAGCCAAAAGACCUAGCCUACAGCACAUUACCAGUGAGCAGAAGAAGCGGUUUGAUCACAGAAGCCUUUGGACCCCAAAUCCAAUGUUCUUUUCUCUACUUUUCAGAGUCUCAAGCCCUUUGGAAAGAAAUAAGUCUUUUGCUCUGCCAAGCUGAAGAUCUCUGCCUCUUCAGAGUGGCUUAGUCUUGGAAGAAAAAUAAAUGGUUUAAAAAUCUGGUAAUGAGUGGGAGCUAGAUCCUAGAAGGACUGAGCUGCUUCAGUGGCUCUUGGUCUGGAAGAAGAUCCCAUGGUGACAAAGAUUGUGAUGAAGACCAGAACAUCUCUUCUAGCACCAAGAUAGGAAGCCCUGAUUUUCUCCUUUGCUGUGAGUGCUGUGCUGUGCAGACUCCGGUGGGAAGGGCCCUCAGCAGACUCCUGAGAGACUGGACCAGACAUGUCCAUCAGGCUGAGAGAGGCAGACGUCUAGUGACUCCAUCACACUUGCACGCUGACUGUUCCUGAUCCCAGAUGACCUUCACAACUAACAUGAUGUUACAGACUAUGGUGACUACAUUUCCUCAAACACAACGUUGAACCAAAUAGCCCAAGAGGUGUGAUUGGGUCAUCAGGAAAGGAAAGCAACAUUUCAAAUUUCUGAAAAAGCUGGAAAUAAAAAUGCCCCUCAUGCCUCCCUGCCUAUAUGCUUCAUGUGUGUUUGGCAGGGUGAGUUGGGUGAAGAGUAGGCGCAGGUCCCAGCCUUAUGCUAAGGCUGCAGUGGAUUUCUUUCAUGGACAACCAUCUGUUUUCUCCUUUUCUUCCAUUUCUGUUCCUGUGACACAGGAACAAUGUUUCUAGGCUAGAGCUCUGUUAGAGGUCUGGCUAAUCCGUUGCUUUCCCUAACGUCAAGGAACCUUCUCUAGACAGGUGACUUUGAGAUCCACCUUCUUCUGGGAGCAUAGGUAGAUGAUACUGGCUUUCCUUACUCAAAUGACCACAAUCCUGGACUUUGGCCCCAUUCUUAAGCAAAAUUUUGAACAAUAAAACUUCCCUUCCUUCUAUUAUUAAUGCAAAACUUAUCCUUGAUUUCUUUCUUCUUAAGAAACCUGUGAGAUUCGGGAGAUUGUGAGGAAUUUGAGGAUCUUCAAUAAUAUUAUUUAUUAUUGUCCAGUAGGUAAAGCAACAAAGCCAAAGGUGUAAUUUACAAGUGACUUUUUUUUCAGUUGAUUGUAUUCAUUGGUACACUUAAGGUAUACAAGAUAAUGAUAUUCAUCAUUGGAAAUUUACACCUUUACAUAAUCUCUCUUGGUUCUUAUUUUUCCCCCUUCCCCGGCCCUCCCUAUUUACAAAGACUUUGUUUCCAUUUUUUCAUUUUCUCAUAUUAAUUCCAUUCCCUUCUUUCCUUUCCCCUACCCCUCCCACUUCCUCUUCCCCUUAGCCUCUUUUCUUCCUAUUUCCCAUUAUCUAUUGUACCUUUUAGACAAGUGACUCUUGAUUUGAAACCUGAGUGAUUCCUGGAGAAGCCAUAACAAAUAGAAGCACUGUAAGUCAAACUCUCAUUUUCUGUAAGCAUCAUCUUGUAAAUUCUAUUCCAUACCUUGGACUCUAAUCUCAUACUAUAGAAAUACGCAGAGUAAUAACUCUCAAAAAAGAAAAAAGCAAAAACAAAAUAAAAUGCAGAUAUAUAUA